UGGGAUAUAGCUCAGUGAUAGAGUGCUUGCUUAGCAUGCAUGAGGCCCUGGGUUUGAUCCCUAGUAGCACAC
rfam:Ictidomys tridecemlineatus contig003149, whole genome shotgun sequence.